rnacentral:rRNA from 1 species
UACAGGGGAUGCAAGCGUUAUCCGGAAUGAUUGGGCGUAAAGCGUUUGAAAAGGCGGUUUAGACAGUCUAUUGUUAAAACCCAAGGCUUAACCUUGGAUCGGCAAUGGAAACUUCUAAAACUAGAGGGGGGUAUAGGUAGAUGGAAUUACCGGUGUAACGGUGAAAUGUGCAGAUAUCGGUAAGAACACCAAUGGCGAAAGCAAUCUACUGGGCCAAAACUGACGCUUAAGAACGAAAGCUAGGGGAGCGACCAGG